GAUGAACGCUGGCGGCGUGCUUAAUACAUGCAAGUCGAGCGAACGGACGAGAAGUUUGUUUCUCUGUUGUUAGCGGCGGACGGGUGAGUAACACGUGUAUAACCUACCUAUAAGACUGGGAUCACUUCGGGAAACCGUAGCUAAUACCGGAUAAUAUUUUGAACCGCAUGGUUCAAUAGUGAAAGACGGUCUUGCUGUCUCUUAUAGAUGGAUCCGCGCUGCAUUAGCUAGUUGGUAAGGUAACGGCUUACCAAGGCAACGAUGCAUAGCCGACCUGAGAGGGUGGUAGGCCACCCUGGAGCUGAGACGCGGUCCAGGGUCCUACGAGAGGCAGCAGUAGGGAAUCUUACGCAGUGGGCGGAAGCCUGACGGAGCAACGCCGCGUGAGUGAUGAAGGUCUUCGGAUCGGAAAACUCUGUUAUUAGGGGAGAACAUAUGUGGAAGUAACUGUGCACAUCGUGACGGUACCUGAUCAGGAAGCAACGGCUAACUACGUG
rnacentral:rRNA from 1 species